rnacentral:rRNA from 1 species
UGGGGAAUAUUGGACAAUGGGGGGAACCCUGAUCCAGCCAUGCCGCGUGUGUGAAGAAGGCCUUAUGGUUGUAAAGCACUUUAAGCGAGGAGGAGGGUACUGGUAUUAAUACUACCAGGUACUGGACGUUACUCGCAGAAUAAGCACCGGCUAACUCUGUGCCAGCAGCCGCGGUAAUACAGAGGGUGCGAGCGUUAAUCGGAUUUACUGGGCGUAAAGCGUGCGUAGGCGGCUAAUUGAGUCGGAUGUGAAAUCCCCGAGCUUAACUUGGGAAUUGCAUUCGAUACUGGUUAGCUAGAGUGGGGGAGAGGAUGGUAGAAUUCCAGGUGUAGCGGUGAAAUACGUAGAGAUCUGGAGGAAUACCGAUGGCGAAGGCAGCCAUCUGGCCUAACACUGACGCUGAGGUACGAAAGCAUGGGGAGCAAACAGG